AUUGAACGCUGGCGGCAGGCCUAACACAUGCAAGUCGAGCGGAUGAAGGGAGCUUGCUCCUGGAUUCAGCGGCGGACGGGUGAGUAAUGCCUAGGAAUCUGCCUGGUAGUGGGGGAUAACGUCCGGAAACGGGCGCUAAUACCGCAUACGUCCUGAGGGAGAAAGUGGGGGAUCUUCGGACCUCACGCUAUCAGAUGAGCCUAGGUCGGAUUAGCUAGUUGGUGGGGUAAAGGCCUACCAAGGCGACGAUCCGUAACUGGUCUGAGAGGAUGAUCAGUCACACUGGAACUGAGACACGGUCCAGACUCCUACGGGAGGCAGCAGUGGGAAUAUUGGACAAUGGGCGAAAGCCUGAUCCAGCCAUGCCGCGUGUGUGAAGAAGGUCUUCGGAUUGUAAAGCACUUUAAGCUGGGAGGAAGGGCAGUAAGUUAAUACCUUGCUGUUUUGACGUUACCAACAGAAUAAGCACCGGCUAACUUCGUG
rnacentral:rRNA from 1 species